CAGAAUUCAUUUCAGUGUUCACCGUGCGUUGAGCAGACGUGCACCAGCUAUCGUGUCAAACCGGAUAGUGUCACCACCCUGAGGACCACCGUAGUUUUAAUAAGCUGAAAGAUCCCGACUGGGAAAUCAGGGUAACCUUGUUACCCUGCUCACAACUGGAGAAUAAAGCACCAGCAACUAAAAUGAAA